rnacentral:snoRNA from 1 species
AUGUCAAGGUUGGGGCAUUUUCUUAAAAAAUUCUUGAACCUUUCCCAUGCCUCAGGAUAGCUGUCUAAAUCUUUCUGCCUAAAGGUGUGAACGUCAUUCCUAAUUU